GCCUGGAUGCCUCAGUCGGUUGAGUGUCUGACUUUAGCUCAGGUCAUGAUCUUAUGGUCCGUGGGUUUGAGCCCCACACUAGGUU
rnacentral:tRNA from 1 species